rnacentral:tRNA from 1 species
UGGAUCACCUCCUAACAGGGAGAACCAACUUCAAAUGAUGAGCAUAUUUUUUCAUGUUCCAUUUGACUGUUCAACCCUAUGGUCGAUCGGUACCUCAAUGAUUGAGAUGUAAAUCUCUUUUAUCUCGGUCCUUAAGCUUGUCUAGGUCACUAUCCCAUGGCUGCUAAGCUAUGGAGGAUGGGCCCGAGAGGGUUCCUGGGCCAUUAGCUCAGGUGGUUAGAGCGCACCCCUGAUAAGGGUGAGGUCCCUGGUUCAAGUCCAGGAUGGCCCAUCGGGAUUGGGGGUUUAGCUCAGCUGGUAGAGCGCCUGCUUUGCAAGCAGGAUGUCAGCGGUUCGAGUCCGCUAACCUCCAUCAAUUCUGAUGUAGGAAACGACACGGUCCCUUAUUGAUCUAGAUACUGGUUUGGUGAAUCCAGCCUCGUAUGAUACUUGAAAAAGCUCAAAUGAUGCUGGACUCAGCAAUGGGUUCAGUAAGAACCUUGACAACUGCAUAGGUGAGUCUGGAAAUAAGCAUCUCACAGAGAUGAUCCAGCAUUUUUAUCAGCAGCUUCUGUUGUUGGUAUUGCUGUUUCAUUAAUUCUGUGGAAGCCGAGAUCUGGUUGUUUCAACAAUCAGAUAUUGAAAAUGGUCAAGUUACAAAGGGCUCACGGCGGAUACCUUGGCACACAGAGGCGAUGAAGG